rnacentral:lncRNA from 1 species
GGAGUAUGAUUCACAUGAUGGUGCAUGUGGGAUUUUCUUCAAUAUCGAAUUCACUGCGGCAACCAUAGCUUCUGUCACAGCGACACCCAGAAGCCCAGCCAUCAUAGGAUGGCACUGGCCUUACAUAUUCAUUAUAAGAUGGUGGUUGGUGCUGAAUCCCAUAUCCAUGGUGGUAGGGGCCACCAUCACGUCCCCCAUAGCAUGACUUACAGUACACUCCAAUUGGAUAGAUGAAUUCUGGAUACUCUGGUACUGGAGUUCGCACCGGUGUCGGUGGCGGUGGCGGUGGCGGUGGCGGUGGCUUCUCGGGUGGUAUAACCUCGAU